rnacentral:rRNA from 1 species
CAGUCGCCACGGUAAUACGAAGGGGGCUAGCGUUGUUAGGAAUUACUGGGCGUAAAGGGCGCGUAGGCGGCCAUUCAAGUUAGAUGUGAAAGCCCUGGGCUCAACCUAGGAAUUGCAUUUGAUACUGAUUGGCUAGAGUUCGGGAGAGGUGAGUGGAAUUCCCAGUGUAGAGGUGAAAUUCGUAGAUAUUGGGAAGAACACCAGUGGCGAAGGCGGCUCACUGGACCGACACUGACGCUGAGGCGCGAAAGCGUGGGGAGCAAACAGGAUUAGAUACCCCUGUAGUCCCUGUCUCUUAUAC